rnacentral:rRNA from 1 species
CUACGGAGGGUGCAAGCGUUACUCGGAAUCACUGGGCGUAAAGCGCGCGCAGGCGGGCUGAUAAGUUGGAUGUGAAAGCCUACGGCUCAACCGUAGAACUGCAUCCAAAACUGUCAGUCUAGAGUGUGGGAGAGGAAGAUGGAAUUAGUUGUGUAGGGAUAAAAUCCGUAGAGAUAACUAGGAAUACCAAAAGCGAAGGCAAUCUUCUGGAACACUACUGACGCUGAGGCGCGAAGGCGUGGGGAGCAAACAGGAUUAGAAACCCUAGUAGUCC